UACGAAGGGGGCUAGCGUUGCUCGGAAUUACUGGGCGUAAAGGGAGCGUAGGCGGACAUUUAAGUCAGGGGUGAAAUCCCGGGGCUCAACCUCGGAACUGCCUUUGAUACUGGGUGUCUUGAGUGUGAUAGAGGUAUGUGGAACUCCGAGUGUAGAGGUGAAAUUCGUAGAUAUUCGGAAGAACACCAGUGGCGAAGGCGACAUACUGGAUCAUUACUGACGCUGAGGCUCGAAAGCGUGGGGAGCAAACAGG
rnacentral:rRNA from 1 species